AUUGAACGCUGGCGGCAGGCCUAACACAUGCAAGUCGAGCGGAUGAGAGGAGCUUGCUCUUCGAUUCAGCGGCGGACGGGGGAGUAAUGCCUAGGAAUCUGCCCAGUAGUGGGGGACAACGUUUCGAAAGGAACGCUAAUACCGCAUACGUCCUACGGGAGAAAGUGGGGGAUCUUCGGACCUCACGCUAUUGGAUGAGCCUAGGUCGGAUUAGCUAGUUGGUAGGGUAAAGGCCUACCAAGGCGACGAUCCGUAACUGGUCUGAGAGUAUGAUCAGGCACACUGGAACUGAUACACGGUCCAGACUCCGACGGGAGGCAACAGUGGGGAAUAUUGGACCAUGGGCGCAAGCCUGAGCCAGCCAUGUCGCGUGUGUGAAGAAGGCCCUCGGGUCGUAAAGCACUUUAAGUUGGGAGGAAGGGCUUACAGCGAAUACCUGUGAGUUUUGACGUUACCGACAGAAUAAGCACCGGCUAACUUCGUGCCAGCCGCCGCAGUAA
rnacentral:rRNA from 1 species